rnacentral:lncRNA from 1 species
GGAAUAGACCGCUCUGGGCUGUGCUGGCGAACCGGGGACACCAUGCAUAGGGCUGGUGCCAUGUACCCCGGCCCGAGGAGACGCACUGGAGACCAGAUGCGCUGAGCCGGCUUCAUGGCACCUGGCUCGAUGCCCACUCUAGCCCGGCUGAUACGAGGCGCUGCGAUGUAACGCACCGGGCUAUGCCUGCGCACCGGGGACACCGUACACCUCAUGGCAUAACACGGUGCCUGCCCGGUCCACUUCUCUCCGCGGUAAGCACGGGGAGUUGGCGCAGGUCCCCCCCAAGACAUUUUUGGGGCUGCCUCUCGUCCCAGCAGCGCUGCCGUGCUAGCUCCUCAUAAUGCCGCCUCUCGGCUUUCGCUGCCUCCAGCUCUACCUUGGAGCGGCGAUAUUCCCCAGCCUGUGCCCAGGGUCCCUUGCCGUCAAGUAUCUCCUCCCAUGUCCAGGAGUCCGGAGAUUUCUGCUGCUGCCCAAUACCACGCUGCUUGGUCCUUUGGUGGUGGGUGAUUCUGUAACACUUGUCUGUGGUGGAAGAAGAAGAGGACAAAUGCGCAGCGUGCCAAGUUUCUGUGAAGUGAAAUGGCUGCCAAGUUGGUCCGGCAAGUCGGACAUUUUACCCUCCAUGCACCAGUAUAUUCUGCCUCAGGACUAAAACGACUAUUAAAACCAGUGAUGAUAUACAGUAAAGUUUCAGGCCCAUUACAUGCACUUCUAGGGGUUCGGGUGAUUCGCUGGUGCUGCCUGGACCUGUAAGUCACACGAGUCUGGUCAUUACCCCAGAUGAAGUUAUUAGAUGAAUGAGACUCUGAGGUCAUCCAACCUCCACC